rnacentral:rRNA from 1 species
UCGAGCGAACAGACGAGGAGCUUGCUCCUCAUGACGUUAGCGGCGGACGGGUGAGUAACACGUGGAUAACCUACCUAUAAGACUGGGAUAACUUCGGGAAACCGGAGCUAAUACCGGAUAAUAUAUUGAACCGCAUGGUUCAAUAGUGAAAGACGGUUUUGCUGUCACUUAUAGAUGGAUCCGCGCCGCAUUAGCUAGUUGGUAAGGUAACGGCUUACCAAGGCAACGAUGCGUAGCCGACCUGAGAGGGUGAUCGGCCACACUGGAACUGAGACACGGUCCAGACUCCUACGGGAGGCAGCAGUAGGGAAUCUUCCGCAAUGGGCGAAAGCCUGACGGAGCAACGCCGCGUGAGUGAUGAAGGUCUUCGGAUCGUAAAACUCUGUUAUUAGGGAAGAACAAAUGUGUAAGUAACUAUGCACGUCUUGACGGUACCUAAUCAGAAAGCCACGGCUAACUACGUGCCAGCAGCCGCGGUAAUACGUAGGUGGCAAGCGUUAUCCGGAAUUAUUGGGCGUAAAGCGCGCGUAGGCGGUUUUUUAAGUCUGAUGUGAAAGCCCACGGCUCAACCGUGGAGGGUCAUUGGAAACUGGAAAACUUGAGUGCAGAAGAGGAAAGUGGAAUUCCAUGUGUAGCGGUGAAAUGCGCAGAG